UGGAGGCGCCGAAUAACUGGGAUGAGGCCAAACUUAUAUCUGUGUCAGAGUGAAUCCUUAAAUUAGACUCUGCCCUAGAUCCAUCUGCAGCUCAGAGGACAGAUCAAGGUAAUAACCUCUCUACUCCUCUGAUGUUCCUUGGAUCAUCGCUCAUCAGUCACAAGAUCCGUGAUGGCGUGCACAACUAAACAUGAUCCAAGUUUCUCCGGGUUGGCAUGACGUAGGGCUGGACGAUAAUUCAGUAGUUCAAUUAUUCUAUCGAUAGACAUGUGGUGCGAUAGAGAAAACAACGGGUCGAUAAAACUUCGAUGAAAAAAAGUUUCCUUUUUUUAUAAUAACCUAUCAUGUGGCAGAAAUAAGAGCAACGUGUUCCCGCGGUGUCCGUGAGGGCACACGGGGUUGGUUACGGUUCUUCUUACAUCCGUCACAGCGGUGGGUGGGGGUCUGAGCGGGCGCGCUUCACCGACUCCCGGGGAGGUUUGUUACCGGAAGACAAGAUGAACGGAUCUCUACAGGGACUCGGCUCUCAUCGUUCACUUUGAAACCCCGUUCAAAAGAUUAGAUUUGUUCAUGAACGUCACAUCACUACUGCAAAGCGAAACUCUCCUUUAACGGGAGCACAUCGGCGAAGCACGAGCAUCUUAACAGGAAGAACAAAGAGUCACCUCGUGGAGGUUACAGACAUAUAUAUGACAACAACCAUCUAUCAGGCUGAUCCCAGUUCAACAUGAUGGAAAAGAAGAAUUAAACAACAUUAAGGUGUGUGUGUGUGUGUGUGUGUGUGUGUGUGUGUGUGUGUGUGUGUGUGUGUGUGUGUGUGUGUGUGUGUGUGUGUGUGUGUGUGUGUGUGUGUGUGCGUGU